CGGGAGGAACUACAACUACGACGGCCUGGCUGCAUCAGGUUCUGGACCUGGUUUUUGCAAAUUCUUAGACUUCCGUUCUACCCUCUGUAACCAAGACCUCUUACCUUGUGACCCAGAACAUAUGUGUGUGUGCACACACACGAGGCCAAAGGCUGUGGAGAUCAGACUCCCCUACCGAUUCCCCAUGCAGGCGCCUGGAUGAGGACGUGCGGGAGCUAUUGAGUUCCUUCCUCAGUCAUGUCUCACCUCGAGUGAUCCUUCUCAAAAACAGCAUUUGAAACUGGCUCCCGAGACUCUUAGGACAAGUCCUCCCUUCCGGCUGCUGCCCCAUCAUGUCUGAGCUACCGCUUUCUGCCUACUGCUGGAAGUUCACAGUCACUGGACGCUUUCCGCAGCCACAUGAUUACACAGAGAGGCGGAUGGAUCACAGCCAGAGUCCCUCUGCUGCCUGACACGUGAGAAGCGAGUGGCCCGCCCGGCCGGCACUUGGUGUGGAGCCGCCUGACGACACUGGUGACAGAGCAGCACCUGACAGUCUGGGCUCAGGGGUCUCCUCUUGCUCUCCCCCACACAGCCUCGUCCUUGCAGGUAGUUCUAAGGCGGGACGAGCUGGAUCCUUCCGGGCUGGGGAACGGGGAGCAAGUAUAAAAUUUAUUUUGGCUCAAAUACAGGACUGGCGUUUGCUCUUUGGAAUACCUCCUAUGCGACUUCUGUCAUCGGCGAGCGAGGGAUACGGUUCCCAUCCCUAUUCAAUCGCUAAAGAUCUGAGUCGGAGAGGCAGCGGGCAGCUGGUUGCCUCAAACGCCAGCUCCUCCCCCGAUGUCCAAUCGGACGCCUCUGUACCAGCCCGUGGUAUUUUGCGCUCUAGCUUCUCCACAGAAUCCUUGCUGGAAUUCAGGCCGUGGGUCCCAGGGACACGACUCUAAGCGCUAAUUCCACCUUUCACACUUCCAGAGCUGACUGUGACUUCCCAGUUCCCAGCCCCCCUCCGCACCCCGGAGAACCACCAGUGACUUUGGCGGGGAGGGAGCGUGAGCACGUGCGGCCCUGGAACACUGUGGCCACCGGCUCGGCCACAUCCUUUUGUGGUAAUCGUCUUUGGCAAAACGGACUGUAAAUAUAUUUUUAUAAUCAGCUGGCUUCUAAAUUACAGCCGUGUGGCGUAAUGGCAGAGUAAACAUAUGAUUACUAAUUUCCUUAGGGCAGAAAGUAGAACGGUCUCGGGCUGAGUCUCUGGCUAAGGCCCAGGGCUUAAAAAGAAUUGUUCCUUCAGUACAAGAGAAAAGAGAAAACUCUCUUUCUUCCAAAGCCAAAGCAACGGGUCACGGCCUUCUUCCUGUGUGGAAACAGUUCUCCUUCCCGAGGAAGAGGGCAAGAGCAAGAUGAACUUGGGAAAGUACUCCAAGUGCUGUCUGCACGCUCAACCUCUGUCCCUGAAGUACCGCCUUCCCCAUGGCAGCCAUGGUUCCUGGCCUUCUAGAAACGACUGCUCCGGAGUUACAGAAAUGCCAUCCAACACGGACACACACAGACUACCAUGGCUCCUUAUACACCCAAGAUAAAAGAUGCAGCAUAA